GUUUUCGGAUGGAAGACUGUAAUUCUUAGUGGCGGACGGGUGAGUAACGCGUGGGCAACCUGCCCUAUACAGGGGGAUAGCAGCUGGAAACGGCUGGUAAGACCGCAUAAGUCGGCGAGACCGCAUGGUUUUGUCGGGAAAUGAGCAAUCAGGUAUAGGAUGGGCCCGCGUCCGAUUAGCCAGUUGGCAGGGUAAAAGCCUACCAAAGCAACGAUCGGUAGCCGGACUGAGAGGUCGGACGGCCACAUUGGGACUGAGACACGGCCCAAACUCCUACGGGAGGCAGCAGUGGGGGAUAUUGCACAAUGGAGGAAACUCUGAUGCAGCGACGCCGCGUGAGUGAAGAAGUAUUUCGGUAUGUAAAGCUCUAUCAGCAGGGAAGAUGAUGACGGUACCUGACUAAGAAGCCCCGGCUAACUACGUGCCAGCAGCCGCGGUAAUACGUAGGGGGCAAGCGUUAUCCGGAUUUACUGGGUGUAAAGGGRGCGCAGGCGGUUUGGCAAGUUGAGAGUGGAAGCAGGGGGCUCAACCCCCUGACUGCUCCCAAAACUGUUAAACUUGAGUAUGGGAGAGGCAGGCGGAAUUCCUAGUGUAGCGGUGAAAUGCUUAGAUAUUAGGAAGAACACCGGUGGCGAAGGCGGCCUGCUGGACCAAAACUGACGCU
rnacentral:rRNA from 1 species